CAGUCGCCACGGUAAUACGAAGGGUGCAAGCGUUACUCGGAAUUACUGGGCGUAAAGCGCACGUAGGCGGAUAUUUAAGUCAGGGGUGAAAUCCCGCAGCUCAACUGCGGAACUGCCUUUGAUACUGGGUAUCUUGAGUAUGGAAGAGGUUAGUGGAAUUGCGAGUGUAGAGGUGAAAUUCGUAGAUAUUCGCAGGAACACCAGUGGCGAAGGCGGCUAACUGGUCCAUAACUGACGCAGAGGUGCGAAAGCGUGGGGAGCAAACAGGAUUAGAUACCCCCGUAGUCCCUGUCUCUUAUAC
rnacentral:rRNA from 1 species